rnacentral:misc_RNA from 1 species
AUAAAACGAAGGAUUAGUAAUUAAAUUUAUACGAUGCAGAGAGUGUACGGUUGCUGUGAGUACAACGUAGAAAUUAAUGAAUGCACCUCGUAAAAUGAAUUAAAUAUAUAAUGAGAGUGAUGAGCAUUAAGUUGACUUAGUUUCCUUGAUAAUUUGGAAGCGCCCGCAAUAUUAUUAAUGUUAUUCGCUAAAUUCAGAGUGGAACCGUGCGGAAGCGCCUCUAAC